UGUCCGCGCCUCACUUUGCACUCCCCUGUCAGUUCUCUCCUCUUUUCUCUCCCUCUCUCUAUUUUUCUUUCUUUCUGUGCCUUCUCUCUCAAGCUGCCAAAUGCAGCGCCUAUCUCACUCUCCCUCCUGACUCCCUCGCUCAAGCUGCCAAAUGGCAGCCUUUCUCUCCUCCUUACGUCAGUCUCAGCUGCCAAGGGCAGCCCGUACCUCACACUUCCUCCUGACCCUUUGCGCCCCGUUCCUUCCUCUGACUGUCUCGCUGACAGUCCCUCCUAUCUCUCCCCUAUUCUCUUUUCUUCGUCCUUCUGCGAGCUGCCCAAAGGGCAGCUCCCUUCUCCGCUCCAAGACCCCCCUCUCUACAUAC
rnacentral:lncRNA from 1 species